rnacentral:rRNA from 1 species
UACGUAGGGACCGAGCGUUGUCCGGAAUCAUUGGGCGUAAAGAGCGUGUAGGCGGCCUUUUAAGUCCUGCGUGAAAUCCUGCGGCUCAACCGCAGACGGUCGUGGGAAACUGGAAGGCUAGAGUGCGGGAGAGGAGAGUGGAAUUCCCGGUGUAGCGGUGAAAUGCGCAGAUAUCGGGAAGAACACCCGUGGCGAAGGCGACUACCUGGCCUGUUCUUGACGCUGAGGCGCGAAAGCUAGGGGAGCAAACGGG